rnacentral:rRNA from 1 species
GAACUCUGAAUGGCAUGAGAUUUAUCCGGGAGUGAGGGCUGGGGUGCUAAGGUCCCAGUCCGAGAGGGAAAGAACCCAGACCAACAGCUAAGGUCCCCAAAUCUAUACUAAGUUGAACAAAGGAGGUCUGAUUGCAGAGACAGCCAGGAUGUUAGCUUGGAAGCAGCUAUUCAUUUAAAGAGUGCGUAACAGCUCACUGGUCGAGCGAGGCGGGCAUCGAUAAUAAACGGGCAUCAAGUAUAGUACCGAAGCUUUGGAUUAUAUAUUUAUAUAUACUGGUAGG